GAUGAACGCUGGCGGCAUGCCUAACACAUGCAAGUCGAACGGCCACACGAGUACCUGCCUCCGCUGGCGUUAGCGGUGGAGGGGUGAGUAACAUCUGGACAACCCACGUAUAAGGGUGGAGUAACGUCGGGAAACCGUUACUAAUACAUGCGAAUAUAUGAAACCGCAGGGGUCCAUAGUGACAGACGGUUUUACUGUCACUUGUAGAUUGAUCGGCGCCGGAUUAGCUAGUUGGCAAGGUAACGGCUUACCAAGGCGACGAUGAGUAGCUGAGCUGAGAGGAUGACCGGCCACACUGGAACUGAGACACGGCCCAGACUCCUACGGGAGGCAGCAGUGGGGAAUUUUGCACAAUGGGCGAAAGCCUGAUGGAGCAAUGCCGCGUGAGUGAAGAAGGCCUUCGGGUUGUAAAGCACUUUUGUUAGGGAAGAACAACUGUGUCCGUAAACGGGCAGGUGAUGACGGUACCGGAAGAGUAAGCACCGGCUAACUACGUG
rnacentral:rRNA from 1 species